GCUCACACAGCUAGUUGAUGACAUAUCCAAUCACGGCUUCGAGCUACAAGCCAGCCAGGCUGUAGGGGAGGCUUCCGGAAGCACAAGCUCCAUGGCUACCCUGGGAUGGUGGGGGUCGCCUCCCCAGACAAAGACACUCAAAGACAAAAACCCCUGCCAUGCCCUCCGUCGGGAGACGAGUAACGUAGGCUUGAGAUAAAAAAAAAGUAGCCUGAAGGCUUCAAUGAACGACGUGAUUUAAGGCGCUCAUUUUAACAGGCACACAGGCGGGAGCGCGCACGCGCAUUCGCCUAACGGAAAGUCUUGGGUCGUCGCGUUUUAGUUUGAAAAUAUUUACAAUUUUAACUAAAUGGACGCAACUAUCCGCGUUGUUUGAAUGCGAUGUUUCAAAAAAUCUAAUCACGGUGGGAUUCGAGUAAAAUACGGACAACAAAGACAGAUUUUACGUCAUAAAAAUAGCUUCUGAGGCUUACCGUUUUCGGCAUCGUUGCUGUUAGUCGUCCGCUUGGGGUUCAAAAAGUAGGGGAAAAAAACAACACAAGAAAAACGCUAAUAAAACAGACGAGCAGUAGGCGAAAAGAGCAGAAAACUUUUUCCCAUCAGAACAACGGCGCCAGUCAAAUGGCUUCCGGUCUAAAACGAAUCCAACCGUAUUUGUGUUAGCUGGAAGAAAGAAAGGAAAACCCGCUUUCCGUGAGAAAUAUUUGUCUUUUGUGUCGCCUUCGAAGUGAAAAUGGGCUCAAAAGCUCGGUUUCCUGCUAACGGUACCCGGACUCUUAAACCACACCCAGGCCGAUGACAGGACAGCAGCCAGACAGAAAGAAGCUUGCAGCCCGCAGACUCCGCCUGCUGCCUCCGCAUCAUCAUCAUGGCCGCACACAAUCCACACAUCCUCCGGCCAGGAACUUCCACUCCCUUCCAGAGCUCUCCGAUCAAAGCCGUGUGCAUUUUGAACACGAUAUUUAGAGAAAUUCCACCUUAGGUUCAUAAAUUAGCACUCGUGGGUGUUUUGGAGUGUUGCGUCCUACUGUUUUUUAAGGCCUACUGAAAUUAGAUUUUCUUAUUUAAACGGGGAUAGCAGGUCCAUUCUAUGUGCCAUACGUCACCAUUUCGCGAUAUUGCCAUAUUUUUGCUGAAAGGAUUUAGUAGAGAACAUCGACGAUAAAGUUUGCAACUUUCGGUGCGAAGAGAAAUGCCCUGCCUCUACCGGAAGUCGCAGACGAUGACGUCACUUGUUUGAUGGGUCUUCACAUACUCACAUUGUUUUUAAUGGGAGCCUCCAACAAAAAGUCACAUUCGGACUGAGAAAACGACAAUUUCCCCAUUAAUUUGAGCAAGGAUGAAAGAUUUGUGUUUGAGGAUAUUGAUAGCGACGGACGAGGAAAAAAAAACGCGAUUGCAUUGGAACAGAUUCCGAUGUUUUUAGACACAUUUACUUGUUUAAUUUCUGGGAAAUCCCUUAUCUUUCUAUUGUGUUGCUAGUGUAUUAGUGAGUUUAACAGUACCUGAUAGUCGGAAGGGUGUCUUGACGUGCAGUGUCUCAGGGGAGUCGACGGCAGCUAUGGACGGCACAAGCUCAGCUUUUCUCCGAAUCACGGGUGAGCUCCAGCUUAUUCCAGCUGACUUCGGGUCAAGAGGCAAUUGUACACCUUGGAUUUGUCCCAGUUGAUUACAGGAGAUGGAAAAAAGAAGAGUCAUUCGCCUCUCCCCACAUGUUAGCAACGCUACUGGAAUGACGGAAAGUACUCCAGCAGACACCACAUCGCAAAUGUUCAUCUGGGCCACAAUCUGGCAAGAAAGCUUUAGAGGGGCAAAACUGUCAAAAUAUGUUCCAAAGUCUGCCUCAUAGUGUGACACGGCACUUCUGGCUUUUUGACAUUCUUUUGGGGGGAUAUAGAGGGACGAUUCAUGACACCAUUUCCUCAGAGCUCAGCGUGCUCGAUGAUGUCUUUGUUCUCACAUGUUAACAUGCAGCUCAGAUUGAGUCACUGCACUUUCUGAUCUCUUCUUCAAUAUUCAUCAACAGUUUUUAGCUACAAGAAGCAGUUACUUUCAGCCUAUUGAACAAAUGGCUUCAGUCAUUUCAGGCAAACGGCAGUGCACUCCUUCGCUGCAACGAGCAGAGGUGCUGUUGAGUCGGUGUCGCAACUAAAUCCUAAAAUAAAUCAUUGAAUAGUUUAUACCAAAGAAAAAAAUGACUUAGUACCCAAAUUAACAAUCAUGGGGGAAAACAGAUUCAUAAAAAAAUUAGAUACCCAAGGAAUUGUGAAAAGUUAAAUCUGUGAAUGCUGAAAAUGUUCCCAUUGAAAAUGAAUGGGCAAUUUUUCAAACUUUGAUAUUUCCUCACCGAUUCAUACCAUUACACCAUCAACACAUUAUUCCACUCGUCCUGAACAUUCAAACUGACAAUUUUUUGGGUUCCAAAAAUUCACUUUUGACCUGGAAUUACCACAUUUUCUUUUGACUACUUCUCACACAUUCUUCAACCGAUUUGAACCAUUCCACCAUCAAAACCCAAAAAUAGUCUGCGUGCGCUACAGCGUUUUCUCUUUGGGCUCCAGUACUCUGGAAUCCCCUUCUGGCAACUGUUAGAAAUGCUACCCCAGUAGAAGCAUUUAAGUCCCACCUUAAAACUCAUUUAUAUAUAACCAGCUUUUAGAUAUACUCUCUUCUGAAUGGAGAGGUUAAACGGGAACCAAUGAUAAUAUCUGGAGAGGUAGCAGUGUUUAAGAAGCUCUCUGUUUUCCAAGAUUGGACGGCUCUUUUAUGCAUUAGUAGGUAACGUCCCUGCGUUGUUGACUUGUCUACAUGGUAAAAAAAAAAAAACCCUUACGACCCUCUGCUGGCUUCCUGAUGGACUGGACUCUCACAUUAUCAUGAAUGUCACAAUUCAGUUAGUGUACCCACGAGGCAUCCAUUGUAGUUUAGUUUAGUUUAGUUUAGUUUAGUUUAUUAAGGAUACCCAUUAGUCUACACUGCAGUGGAGACUAUUCUUCCUGGGGUACUCGGUCACCCAAGAGGUGGGUCCCCAAGUCUGCAGCUCCUUCCCAAAGUUUCUUCUUCUUCCCAUCUCGAGCUAUUGGGGUUUUUCUUUGCCCGGAUGCAAGUUCAGAAACUGGAAAUUGUGAUGUAUCAUGUUGUAUGCUUGCAUGUUCGAAAUAAACUCAAACUCAGAUUAGGGGAAUUUGUGAUUAAGGGCUAUACAGAUUAACUGUGAUCGUGUGAUUGUUUUAUCUGUUUGAAUACAUUCCAAUUACCAAAGACAAUUGGCCUAUGUAUAUUUGCAUACCCGACAAAUUCCCAGUUUUCCUGGAAUUCCCACAUUUCCGUAAGGCUUAUUCUCUAUGAAGUGUUUUUAUUUCCACAUUUCUCAACCGAUUUGAACCGUUCCAAACUCAAAAUGCUCCUCGCUAAAGUUAGGUAAAUGCUAGCAACAAACAGCACGUAAAUUUUUAUAGCUAUCUUAUUAAAUAUUACAUGUUAUUAUGAGUGUGCCUUUUACUACAUUACAUAUACAGUAUA